UGUAUGAUGAAAUAAUUUGGUCCGUGUUUAUGAAAUUGUAUGAUUUUAUAAUGAUCCAUAUUUCUGAAACUU
rnacentral:snoRNA from 1 species